AGCAGCCGCGGUAAUUCCAGCUCCAAUAGCGUAUAUUAAAGUUGUUGCAGUUAAAAAGCUCGUAGUUGAAUUUCGGGAUUAGUACGUUGGUCGUGCCUUCGGUACGUACUGGUGUUACUGAUUCCUACCUUCUGACGAACCAUCAUGUCAUUAAUUUGGUGUGGCGGGGAAUCAGGACUGUUACUUUGAAAAAAUUAGAGUGUUUAAGGCAGGCUCGCGCUUGAAUACAUUAGCAUGGAAUAAUGAAAUAGGACGUUGACCCUAUUUUGUUGGUUUCUAGGAUUGACGUAAUGAUUAAUAGGGAUAGUUGGGGGCAUUAGUAUUCAAUUGUCAGAGGUGAAAUUCUUGGAUUUAUUGAAGACUAACUACUGCGAAAGCAUUUGCCAAGGAUGUCUUCAUUAAUCAAGAACGAAAGUUAGGGGAUCGAAGACGAUCAGAUACCGUCGUAGUCUUAACCAUAAACUAUGCCGACUAGGGAUCGGAUGAUGUUAUUUUUAAUGACUCA
rnacentral:rRNA from 1 species